rnacentral:rRNA from 1 species
CACGUAGGCGGCUUUCUAAGUCGGGGGUGAAAUCCUGGAGCUCAACUCCAGAACUGCCUUCGAUACUGGGAAGCUCGAGUCCGGGAGAGGUGAGUGGAACUGCGAGUGUAGAGGUGAAAUUCGUAGAUAUUCGCAAGAACACCAGUGGCGAAGGCGGCUCACUGGCCCGGUACUGACGCUGAGGUGCGAAAGCGUGGGGAGCAAACA